UUAACCCUCAACCUUUAGAACCUCUCCGCCAGUCCGUUCCGCCUGUUUCCUUAAACCUCUAGGAGAUAUCGGCGGCAUCGGAAACUUGAGGCUCGUCUCUGUUCCUGAUAACGACGAUCGGCAAAGGCUGCUAUCGGAUGGGGAGAUGCCCGUCAUGUGUUUG